rnacentral:rRNA from 1 species
AGUGAACGCUGGCAGCAGGCCUAACACAUGCAAGUCGAACGGGUCCUUCGGGACUAGUGGCGGACGGGUGAGUAACGCGUGGGAACGUGCCCCUUGGUACGGAAUAGCCCCGGGAAACUGGGAGUAAUACCGUAUGUGGUCGAGAGACGAAAGAGUUAUCGCCAAGGGAUCGGCCCGCGUUGGAUUAGGUAGUUGGUGGGGGAAUGGCCUACCAAGCCGACGAUCCAUAGCUGGUUGGAGAGGAUGGUCAGCCACACUGGGACGGAGACACGGCGCAGAAUCCUACGGGAGGCAACAGUGGGGAAUCUUAGACAAUGGGGUGAACCCUGAUCUAGCCAUGCCGCGUAAUCGAUGAAGGCCUUAGGGUUGUAAAGAUCUUUCAGGUGGGAAGAUAAUGACUGUACCACCAGAAGAAGCCCCGGCUAACUCCGUGCCAGCAGCCGCAGUAAUAC